ensembl:lncRNA LINC00840 long intergenic non-protein coding RNA 840
GCAGGGAGCAUUUGCAGAGGCUUGGGAGGGAGUGGACGUGUCCCUGAUGCUAAGGGCAGAGGAGGAGCGGGGCCCUCGGGCAGCUGGAAGGGCAUCCUGAAAAGACGCCUGCCUGCCGCCGUUCUCCUGGCAGCAGGGCGCGCUGGGAAGCACCAGGCAGGAAGUGAAGAAUUUCCGGUUGUCAGCGGAGGGAUGGGGCGUCACCAAGUCUGUGGCAAGCACACCAAGAACCAGCUAAGUCCAAGGCUCACCUGCAUGGCAAAUGGUGAAGGUAAAGUCCAGCUGCCAGCCCAAAGUAGAGCGCUUUUACAGCAAGCUGCUCUCAAAUCAUUUCCAAAAUCAAAGUUGCUGUAGCUGCAGUCAGGGAACUUCAACAGGAUGUGGGCCAGGGGUAAGACAGAAGCAUAUCUUUACCUGGUUCUCCAUCUGGGAGAUGAGCAUCCCGAGGGAGAAGGACAAGACACCUCAAGCCCAGCUCCCACUGAAGGCAUAUGACCCAGAUCCUGAGAACCAGAUGCACCGGCCUGAGCUUUCGUCAGAAGCAAGGACACACAGAACCUUUCUUAGAGGCAUCAUUAGAGGACCGGACAUGGUGGCCAGAGGCUGCAGGGACAGAAGUCCCAGGGCCAUGUCCAGGAACUGGGCUCAGGGGACCUCCUGGUGCCACCUGCAUAUCUGAGCCCAUGGAGUUCCUCUGGUCUAUUCAGUUCUCUCAUUUUAACUUAAUUUUGUUUUUGUAGGCUUUCUUAAAAAAUUGCCCAGUUCAUUUACCUGAUCACGUUUAUUGUUCAGAGUUGAGUGUGGUUCUCUCGUAAUUAUUUAGUCUCCACUGGGUCUGUGAUUAUAUUUCCUUUCUUAUUGCUAAUGCUGUUUGUGUUUGAUUUUCUUCUUUUUUUUCUUGGCCUGACUUAAAGAGGUUUGUCUGUUUUAUCUUUAUUUUAAAAAUAACCAACUGUUUAUUUUUACUUCUCCACUGUGAUUUCCCCCUUUAUUUCUUUAAUGUUUGAGUUUAUAUUUUUUCCUAUUUAUUUUGGCUUAAAUUUUAUUAUCAUUUUGCUAUAUCCUUGUGUCAAGCGCUUAAUUCAAUUAUUUUGUUAUUUUGACUUCUAAAAAAUCAGUUAAUUCUAUAAGUUUUCCUCUAUGUACUACAUUGAGCAAACUCCACAGAUUUCUGUAGGGGGCAUACUAAUUGUAAUUCAAUUUCGUUUUCCAUGUGUAGGUCCAGAUUUAUUUGAAUGUCCAAAUACUUAGAAUUGUAGGCUCUUGUUUUGUUAUUAAAGUCUGGUUUUAUUACAUUGUGUUUAGAGAAAAUAAUAUGGAGGAUUUUAAUUUUAGAUAAAGCAUUAAUAUCUUUUUUAUCCUCAAACAUGAUCAAUUUUUGACAGUGUUCCAAAAAUAUACUAUGAAAUAUAUAUUAUCUGUUGGAAUAGAGUAAUAUAUGUACACACUCUGCCAUGUGCAUAUGUUUAUAUAUCAUAUUUAGUCAAUGGUAGUUGUGUUAGCCAAGUCCUGGAGUCAUCUCGAUUCAAGUUUGUUGAGGCAGAAUUGUCAAUUUCGUCCUCAGCUCAGCUUCAACUACUUAACAGAACCUGAUUCAUAUAGGAAUUAAGUAAAUGUUUGUUGAAUGAAA